UACGUAGGGCGCAAGCGUUGUCCGGAAUUAUUGGGCGUAAAGAGCUCGUAGGCGGCUUGUCACGUCGAUUGUGAAAGCCCGAGGCUUAACCUCGGGUCUGCAUUCGAUACUGCCGAGCUGGAGUGUGGGAGAGGGUAGUGGAAUUCCCGGUGUAGCGGUGAAAUGCGUAGAUAUCGGGAGGAACAUCAGUGGCGAAGGCGACUGCCUGGCCCAACACUGACGCUGAGGUGCGAAAGCGUGGGUAGCAAACAGG
rnacentral:rRNA from 1 species